rnacentral:misc_RNA from 1 species
GUACAGCACGCAUACACGUUUGUAACUGCACACACGCACGCGCGUCGACGCCACCCGUGAAAAUGGAUGAUCGCUCGCUAAAACUGGCGGAGGACUUCGUCUCGGCGCGGUACAUCGAAGCGGGCCGCGAGUCGUUGCGUGCAACGGCCCGUAUCAUGCGCUCCAUCCUGGCGCAGCGCUGCUGCCCAGAUGAAGGUCUCACCGAUGCCGCCAUCGAGCUCAUCCUUCGUCAGCUUUCGCUCAUGGACACAAACAACUUAGCGCACCACGUCGGUGGCGGCGAGCGCGAGGGCCGCGUCGUCUCUGCCCUCGUUCGCAUGCGACACUUCCACCUCACGCACGGCAUUGGGCGCUCCGGCGACUUGUUCAGCGAACAGCCGAAAGCGGCCGGGUCGUCACUGCUGUACAAGAUAACGAACGUGCUCAUGCUUGAUCUGAUACGCCAGGCCGGUGCCCCCUCGACCGCGGCCGCGGUGGUGGUGCCGAUGGCGACGGGCAUGACGCUGGCGCUGGUGCUUCGGUGUGUGGCGAAGACGCACAUGAAAGAACUGAUGAAGGAGGCAGAAGCGGUGCAGCUGCAACGCACUGUGACGAAGGACUCAACGAGCGCAACGUCAGCUGCCCCAGUGCAAGAGCCGCCAAUGAGCGAGGCUGAUCGUGAUAGGCAUGACCGCACAUCUCUGCCAGUCCCGGCGACGCCGCGCUACGUCAUAUGGCCUCGCAUCGAUCAGAAGACAGCCCUCAAGUGUAUUGACGCGGCGGGGCUAGUGCCGGUGCCGGUACAGCUACGGCCGGCUGUGCCGCUCGCACGCUCUGCCGCCCCUUGCGUCAGCACCAACAGGGAUAGCCUCGACCGUGGCCAAGACAGCAUUGGUUCGCCGUCGACGCCAACGUCCUCGUCGUCGCUGUUCCUCGAGUGCCACGUGGACGACGUAGCCGCGGCCGUGAACGCCGUUGGCGGCCCGUCACAGGUGGUCUGUGUGCUCUCCACGACCAGCUGCUUCGCGCCACGCCUACCAGAUAACACGGUCGCCAUUGCCCAGUACUGCAAGAAGGCCGGCAUUCCCUAUGUGGUGAACAACGCGUACGGGGUGCAGAGCCGCCGCAUUAUGACUCGCCUCGACGCGGCGCAGCGACUGGGGCGGGUGGACUUUGUGGUCCAGUCCGGUGACAAGAACUUUCUCGUCCCGGUGGGCGGCUCCAUCAUCUGCUCCGGCGACAAGGAGCGCUGCAAGGCCGUGGCAGCCCUCUACGCCGGUCGCGCGAGCAUGAGCCCCAUCGUCGACCUCUUCAUCACCGCCUUGAGCCUCGGCCGGCGCGGCAUGCAGACCUUGUGGAGCGAUCGCUACAAGUGCCGUGCGCGGCUGAUCCGGCAGCUGCGCGUGUUCGCGCGCGAGCGAAGGGAAGUGCUGCUGGUCGACGACAGUGACGACGACAAGGCCGAUGAGGAUACCGUAGGUGGGUCGCAAAGGACCUCCAAUGCUGUCGUGCCCCGCAAUGACAUCAGUGUCGCCGUCACCAUGCGUGCCUACGGCCUUCCUGCCGCCGAAGCGAGCAGCAGUGGCGCCCAACUUGGGUCGGAGCAGGCGGGGAGGGUGACAAACUGGGCGGCCGCCCGCGCUCUCGGCGCACAACUCUUUCGCAGCGCGGUCACCGGCCCCCGCGUCAUCACUCCAGCACCGUCCACCCUAACCACAAUUGCCGGCUGCACAUUCAGGAAUUACGGCAUGCAUCAAGACAGGGAGCCGCCGUGCCCGCUGCUGGUGAUCGCCUGCGGCAUCGGCAUGUCGGAGUCUGAAGUCGAUGCUCUGAUGGCGCGCCUUCGCGACCUGUGGCCUGUUCCCGCAUGAAGAGGCGCACGUAUGAGCGCCCAUGUGCGUCUACACACCACAGCAAGACGAGAG